AUUGAACGCUGGCGGAAUGCUUUACACAUGCAAGUCGAACGGUAGAGGGGGCAACCCCUUGAGAGUGGCGAACGGUGAGUAAUAUAUCGGAACGUGCCCAGUCGUGGGGAUAACGUAGCGAAAGUUACGCUAAUACCGCAUACGAUCUACGGAUGAAAGCGGGGGACUCGGCAAGAGCCUCGCGCGAUUGGAGCGGCCGAUAUCGGAUUAGGUAGUUGGUGGGGUAAAGGCUCACCAAGCCAACGAAUCUGUAGCUGGUCUGAGAGGACGACCAGCCACACUGGAACUGAGACACGGUCCAGACUCCUACGGGAGGCA
rnacentral:rRNA from 1 species